UGAUACUUUCUUUAGUUGGUGAUUGGAGAAGGGUGGUUGUGAAAAGCUGAUCUUGCUAGCUAUAAUGAAGGGCUGUAGUGUUUCCUUCUAAGCAUGAAAAUAGCAGAAAAUACUGUUCUGUGACAGCUGCUUUCUGAAUAGAAGAAUGUCUUGUUCUUCCUGAGAAGAGCAGGGAAAGGAUACACAGUCUGAAUGGU